rnacentral:rRNA from 1 species
UACGUAGGGGGCAAGCGUUGUCCGGAAUUAUUGGGCGUAAAGAGCGUGUAGGCGGUCCGGUAAGUCAGCUGUGAAAGUCAAGGGCUCAACCUCGAAACGCCACUCGAUACUGCUGUGACUAGAGUUCGGAAGAGGCGAGUGGAAUUCCCGGUGUAGCGGUGAAAUGCGCAGAUAUCGGGAGGAACACCAGUGGCGAAGGCGGCUAUCUGGGCUUUAACUGACGCUGAGGCGCGAAGGCUAGGGGAGCAAACAGG